rnacentral:tRNA from 2 species
GGGCCCGUAGCUCAGUCUGGAAGAGCGCCAGGCUUUUAACCUGGUGGUCCGGGGUUCGAAUCCCCGCGGGCCCG